CCCUGCUGCUGAGCCCUGCUCCUGCCAGGCCUUCCUGCAGGGAGAACAUUCACCUUGCACAUUCACCUUUUUAUCGGGCGGCUGCUCAGACAAGGAAAGUUCUGAAGUCUUUUUUCCUCAGAGCUGCAGGUGCCACCUUGAGUUGGCUGGGACGUUCUCUGUGGCGGGCACAGCGUGUGUCGUGCACCAUCCCCUCCUCAUUCCAGGGGCCCAGCUGACCUGUGCUGCCCUUCUCCUGAGUGUGGCGUGGAAUUCAUGGCCUUCAACACUUCAUAAGCUCAUCCCAAGUGUGUUUGCAAUUCAGGUGCGUGGAGGACUCCUCACUCUUCACCUGCUCAGAAUAUCUGAGAGCUGCAGGCAGAACCCGUCUGCACCCAGAACCACCUGCAC